rnacentral:rRNA from 1 species
CCUACGGGUGGCAGCAGUAGGGAAUUUUGCGCAAUGGACGAGAGUCUGAACCAGCCAAGUAGCGUGAAGGAUGACUGCCCUAUGGGUUGUAAACUUCUUUUAUAUGGAAAUAAAAUGUUCCACGUGUGGGAUUUUGUAUGUACCAUAUGAAUAAGGAUCGGCUAACUCCGUGCCAGCAGCCGCGGUAAUACGGAGGAUCCGAGCGUUAUCCGGAUUUAUUGGGUUUAAAGGGAGCGUAGGUGGAUUGUUAAGUCAGUUGUGAAAGUUUGCGGCUCAACCGUAAAAUUGCAGUUGAAACUGGCAGUCUUGAGUACAGUAGAGGUGGGCGGAAUUCGUGGUGUAGCGGUGAAAUGCUUAGAUAUCACGAAGAACUCCGAUUGCGAAGGCAGUUCACUGGACUGCAACUGACACUGAGGCUCGAAAGUGUGGGUAUCAAACAGGAUUAGAUACCCUGGUAGUC